rnacentral:rRNA from 1 species
UGGCUGUCGUCAGCUCGUGUCGUGAGAUGUUGGGUUAAGUCCCGCAACGAGCGCAACCCUUGUCAUUAGUUGCCAUCAUUUAGUUGGGCACUCUAAUGAGACUGCCGGUGACAAACCGGAGGAAGGUGGGGAUGACGUCAAGUCCUCAUGGCCCUUAUGGGUAGGGCUUCACACGUCAUACAAUGGUCGGUACAGAGGGUUGCCAAGCCGCGAGGUGGAGCCAAUCCCAUAAAGCCAUUCGUAGUCCGGAUCGCAGUCUGCAACUCGACUGCGUGAAGUCGGAAUCGCUAGUAAUCGUGGAUCAGAAUGUCACGGUGAAUACGUUCCCGGGUCUU